rnacentral:rRNA from 1 species
AUGGAGCUGCUCUACCUCUCGGCGUGCCUGGCCAAGGUGCCGCACGGCGGCUGGCUGCCGCCGCUGCUCUCGCUGGCCACGCUGCUGGUCAUGUCCGCGUGGCACUACGGCACGGCCAAGAAGCAGGAGUACGAGCUGCAGAACAAGGUGUGCCUGGACCACUUCAUCGGCCUCAGCUCCGGCAUGGGCCUCGUGCGCGUCCCGGGGGUGGGCUUCGUCUACUCGGACUCCGUCGCCGGCGUGUCGCCCAUGUUCGCGCACUUCGUCACCAACUUCCCGGCGUUCCACCGGGUGCUCGUCUUCGUGUCGCUGCAGACGCCGACCGUGCCCAAGGUGCCGCCGGAGGAGCGGUUCCUGGUGGGCAGGAUCGGGCGGCCGGAGCACCGGAUGUUCCGCUGCGUGGUCCGGUACGGGUACAAGGAGGGCCGGUGGGACCACUUCAACUUCGAGGACCAGCUGCUGGUGAAGGUCAUGGAGUUCCUCCAGAUGCAGCCGUUCCCGUGCGCCGGCGGCAAGCGGCUGGGGAAGGAGGAGGCCGGCGACGAGGAGGAAAAGGAGGCGGAGGACCCGAUUGCUUUUUUAAGAAAAACUAGGGACCCGAUUGCAUUUUUAGCCCGCUUAUGUGUGGGGUCGGGCAGUCAGAUUCGCGUUUAA